rnacentral:rRNA from 1 species
UUCGAGGUAGUGACGAGAAAUAACAAUACAGGGCAUUUUAUGCUCUGUAAUUGGAAUGAUGGGAAUGUAAAACCCUCUCAGAGUAACAAUUGGAGGGCAAGUCUGGUGCCAGCAGCCGCGGUAAUUCCAGCUCCAAUAGUGUAUAUUAGAGUUGUUGCAGUUAAAAAGCUCGUAGUUGGAUUUCUGUCGUGGUCAUCCGGUACCGCCCGUAUGGGUGCGCACCUGGUUUGACCUCGGCUUUCUUCCGGUAGCCUUCCGCGCUUCACUGCGCGGUUGGUGUUCCGGAACUUUUACUUUGAGAAAAAUAGAGUGUUUCAAGCAGGCUUGUCGCCCUGAAUACUUCAGCAUGGAAUAAUAAGAUAGGACCUUGGUUCUAUUUUGUUGGUUUCUAGGACCAAGGUAAUGAUUAAUAG